GCGCGCGGUAGCUGCCUCGUGGACCAACGAUCGGUGCACAUGCCCCGGUCCCGCCCGUCGGUCGAGUACUGGUGCGGAACUGCGGCUACAGGAAGUUGGGUUUUUAGCGGCCGCGGGACCAGUGGCCUGGGCUGGGUGUUUCUCGCCCCGGGCAGUGGCGCUCUGCGCCGCGCCGUGUCGGCGUCGGCGGCCAUUGCCCGCAACAGCGGUCGGCGGGGGAUUUCCGCGGUCACGACACCGAACUGGAUGAAUGGCUAUUUGUUCGCCGAGUUUUAGUGCGACGGACCGGAGUACUGGACCGUAGACCGAUCGCCUAGGUCCCGAACGGGGGGCGGCCGCGUCUGAGGAUCAGUGGCACAGAGGCUGGUGACCAGUGGCAGUGAAGCAGCGUCGUGUGCCGGAGGGCGGAGGAAGGGUGGCCAACGCGCCGACGGCAGUGGGCCCAAGUUAGGCCGGGGUGGUGGAGCGCAUGUGACGCGAACGUGAGGAUCUGAGGAUGAUGGUGGCGGGUUUCUGCUUUGUAUCACGAAUAAAGCAAGCCAAGGCGGACGAGGUCAUCGCAGAAUCUGGUGGAACGCAGUAUGACCGUAUUGUGGAGCCCGUUGACGAGUACACAACAUGGAGCUGGACUCGGUUGUUGUGAUGAACAAGCGCAUACGAGAUGAAGGACCUGCUCCUUCUGUUAGGUUAGGUACAGACUACAGACAGAUUCAAGAAAUGGUUCACCGAUUCUCUCUUUUUUCAGAAUAAACAGACCUUUUGUUGCUGUAGUUGUUGUUGUUUGAGCAGAUGCAUGAAGAUAGUGAUAGAAUUGAGACAGGUUGGUGUCAUCGAAUAGGCCAUCCAUGUGAUGCAAUGCAACACACACCGACAAUACUGAAAAAUGUUCCAGUGGGGGUUUCAGAUGGAGGUAUUUGUUGCAGGCAUCCGUGAUGGUUGUUCGUGAAAUGCACUGCAACCCGCGCCUGUGUCUUGAGUUUUGACCCACCACGCUAACCUGAAUCCCAAUAACCGCCCGCUGCUUAAAAGUAGACAAGCUGCCCGUGGGAGCCGUCAUUCCUGAAGCGCCACGCAACCGAACCGAUGCAGCAGGACGCCCUUGGAUUCAAACCACCGGUCUCAACAGCACACGUGCAGUCCGUUGUCCGUGCCCAGCAUCGGAGUACUCGUGGUUGCACGGCUCACUCGUACCAUGAACAAUGAUAGUUGGCGUACCUGCUUCUGAACGCGGCCAACUCGAGAUCGUCUCGUUGUGCCGCCGGCGUGCGAGUUCGAUCCGUCACGCACAGACUGUCACAUAAACCGUUGGUCAAACAGGCACACGACACGACACGACUGUCAGUUUCCCUGAGACCGACGGCGGUGCAAUUACAGUCCCAGCAUAGCGUAUACAUAGAAAUAACGGAACAACUUGACUGGCCGGUGCCGUGCCUGGGAGAGCUGCUGGACAUCAUAAUCAUAUCUUACAGGUUGCUAGUAUACAGGUCUAAAACGCGGAGAGACCUGUUCAAGGAGGGGAAGAAGCUUCUCAGAUGAAUGGAAGCCUGUGUACAAGAAGAGCGGCUUCACAAUCCGCAAUGGGAAGCUCCACGGUUCGUUCCUCUACGUAAAAACAAUGGGCUAGACAGGGGAUGGCGGCGGGAGCGAUCAAAUCAAAAAGAAUACAGCCGGGGUCUCAGCCCAUCACCGAGCACGCGAUGUGCAACCAAUCCAAGAGAGAGCCUCCCGUCGGGCUGGGAGAAAAAAAAAA